UUGGCUCACUGCAACCUCAGCCUCCUGAAUUGCUGGGACCACAGAUGUGCGCCAGCAUGCCCGGCUAAUUUUUGUAUUUUUAGUAGAGACAGGGUUUCGCCAUGUUGCCUAGGCUGAUCUCAAACUCCUGGACUCAAGCGAUCCACCCGCCUCGGCCUCCCAAAGUGCUGGGAUUACAGUUGUGAGCCAUUGUGGCCGGCCACAAAUGUUAUUUUUAAAGCACACACACAUUCCUGGUGGAAGGUAAGUAUCCUCAGCACCCAUUUCCUGAAACGUCUUUUAAUCAUCACAAUAUGGAGAUUGUAUUAUUAUCUCUAUUUUAAAGACAGGGCAGUAUUUUCCUGGGGCAGUAUUUCCCAAAUUGUGUCCCACGGAAUGCUAAUAACAGUACUAAGAGGUAAGUGGUGCUCACUUUUGAAAAUGCUCCUAUAGCCAAAUAUUUUUGAGAAAUAAUGCAGAGGAAUGGUGCAUUUGUGAGCAUAGACCCAGGAGUCAGAGACACCUCGGUUUGGGGCCGAGCCCCACUGAUUAUCAGCUUUGCGGGUGCAGCAAUAAUAAUCCUAGCUUCCUUAUCUGGGAUGUGGGAAUAAUGAAAUACCCGCUUCAUAAGGUUCGUGUGAGGGUUGAUGUUAUGAGGUAACAAAUGUAAAGCUCUUAGCACAUAGCUGGUGCAAAAAAAGUCUUCAAUAAACAAGAACUCUUAUUGGCAUUGUAGCAGGUUAAAUAUUGUUAACAUCUUACAGCUAGACCUAUAAUUUUUUUAGGGAGAGAUCAAUUUUGUUUAGGAAAACAUCUUAAUAAACCACGUGGAAGCGUGGCCAGCAAUGAGACUCUGAAGUUACAAGCCAUCAAUAACCAAGACCAAAACCUAGAAAACCAAGUUUGAAAAAGCCAGAGUCCCAUAGAGGCCUUCAAGACCCUGCUUGAAUCCCAC
rnacentral:lncRNA from 10 species